rnacentral:lncRNA from 1 species
CAACAUCAAUAUAUCUGGUCACUGAAGGUACAGGGAGUCAACAUCAAUAUAUCUGGUCACUGAAGGUACAGGGAGUCAAUAUAUCUGGUCACUGAAGGUACAGGGAGUCAAUAUAUCUGGUCACUGAAGGUACAGGGAGUCAACAUCAAUAUAUCUGGUCACUGAAGGUACAGGGAGUCAACAUCAAUAUAUCUGGUCACUGAAGGUACAGGGAGUCAACAUCAAUAUAUCUGGUCACUGAAGAUACAGGGAGUCAACAUCAAUAUAUCUGGUCACUGAAGGUACAGGGAGUCAACAUCAAUAUAUCUGGUCACUGAAGGUACAGGGAGUCAACAUCAAUAUAUCUGGUCACUGAAGGUGCAGGGAGUCAACAUCAAUAUAUCUGGUCAGAUGUUGCUUAACAGAUAUUUAUACUGAUGUUUUUUCCUGUGUGUGUUGUAACAGACCUCCUUCCCGUGCUAAAGAAGCGUGUGUGUGUGUGUGUGUGUGUGUUGUAACAGACCUCCUUCCCGUGCUAAAGAAGUGUGUGUGUGUGUGUGUGUGUGUGUUGUAACAGACCUCCUUCCCGUGCUAAAGAAGCGUGUGUGUGUGUGUUGUAACAG